UAGCCGUCAAACUGCACAUGUCGCUCCCUUCACAAAAAAACUAGCACACAGAUACAUCCCUUCCGCUAUCCUUAUCCUGAUCCCUCUUCAGAAAAAAAAAGCCUUAUCCUGAUCCCUUUCCUUCUCUCAGAACGGAGGUGGAGAAGAAGCACGGGAGCACACUGGAGAGUCGACGUGGAGGUGGCGGAUCAGAGGAGCCGGCGAAAAGGUCGGCCAGGGAACGGGAAUAGCAGCUCCACCGUCUCGUCCUCCCAAAUUCUCAGAGCGGAGCUGGAGUAAUGCCGUCUGCGUCGGCGUCGGCGUCGAGCCGUCAAGGUACCUGCUCUUCGUGCGCGCCGGGAUUUACCUUCUCAUGCAUGCUGGCUGCGAGGGUCUCAACCCCGCCGCCGGAGUCGUGGACGGGGUCUCCAUAUUGAGGGGUAGGGAACGCGCGCGAGCGCGCGAGAGAGAGCGCGGGAGGGCAAUGGAAACGUCGAUUUUUGCCGUCAAUUAGAGGUGAUGGCGCAGUAGCGCCUCCAAAUCUAGGAAUGGUAAUUCCAGUUUAGACGUAUGUGUUUUGGGGAUCAUCCUGUUAGUUUGGGUGCUUAGGUAUUGACGCACAACAGCCCUGGAUUGCACUAUAGAUAGCUUUAUUAGUAGGUCGUGCUUAGGAUCAUAGUCCAUUAGUGCGCGUGUGUGUGGUAGCUGUAGAGCUUGGAUCAGGCGCAUAGCAACCCUGGUUUGCAUGCGACAGCAGGACUGGAGCUCACCCGCUGCGGCGUGAUGCGACGAACCGCACCAAAGAACUCCUUUAUUGACAUGACGAUAUCCCCCAUUCAAUCUACAAUUCUGCUACUUCUUUUAAGGUGUGAGCAUGGUCAUUCCUUGCAACUUUUUAUGGGUGCACACCACAUGCUCGAUCAACUGUCUCCAUAGUUUGAACCAGCGGCCUGUCCAGAUGCAUGUCAUAUGUGCAACUUGCUAUGCGACUACUCUUAUGUCUACAAUUGCAUACUACUAGUAGUAUGCAAUAUAGUAUGCAAUUGAGAAUUGAGAAAAACCUUGUAUGUGUGAGUAUUUCAUGUAAACACCCAUUAACUACCGAAACUAUUUCAUAUGAACCUAAUAUGAUUUUGCCUUAGAGAUUGGAUGCGUUUAUUCCCGCUACUAAUCGAAGGGGUGUUCUCAUGCCAGGGUGCGGGAUGUGGGAUGUCUGCCCAUCCGCAACUACUGGAAGAACACGCUGGCAGCGAGCGUCUCCAAGAGCAAGGGAGGAGAUGACGUUGCAGCUCAAGGGGGCCUCACUACCUGAAGGUGAGCAUGGAUGGCGCCCAUUUUUCCCCAUCAAAUUUGUACAAAUUCGUUGCAGAGCAAGGGACUUUUGUGUUUUAAUCAGUGGGUGAAUUUUUUGCAAUCAAUAGAUAGGCAGUUAUGUGAAUUAUGGGGAGAAAGCAGUCGCUUGGAUUUCUAGAAGAGUUGCAUCGUGUUGUAAAGCAGUUGCUUGAUUUUGUUAGGACAGUUGUUUGGUUUUUGCUAGGUCAAUUUUGCAUUGUGUUUUAGGUAAUGCAGUUGUUUGGAUUGCUAGGAAAGUUGCUUGGUUUUCCUAGGACUGUUGCUCGGUUUUGCUAGAACAGUUUUGCAUUGUGUGUUUUCAUAAUAUAGUAGGAUUUCUUUUGCUAGAGACAGUUGCUUUUCAAUCUUGCUAGAACAGUUGUGUGGAUUUUGCUAGGUUUGGGGGAGGGGUAGUAGGAGUUGCUCACAGUGUGACGUCGAGCUGCGUGCGAGGGGGGGAGGGUAGUAGGAUUUUUCUUGGCACAAUUUGUUGAUUUGGUUACAAGCAUUUGUUUGCCUGCAAUAUUCAACUAAAGUUGCUUUGGUUUUACUGAAUUCAUGGGGCCUUUAUAUCCAGUGAUCUUCAGUCUACCUUUUUUACAAACGGUUUAUUCUAAACCAUAGAACAGAGACAUCACAUGCAUCAUAAUGCCUCUGAAAGAGCAACACAAAAAAGAGGCCAGUAGUGAUAGAGCAACUUCGAACCAGAAUAGAGCAACUAGCCAUAAAUCACAAAACAUCAUAAAGUAAAACUUGGUGUGAUUUGGGAAGAAUUAUCACACAACAAAAGCAACAAAAAUACAUAAAAAGAUACCAGAGUUUGCCUACAAUGUUUGGAUGCCUUUUUUAUACACAAUACAUGAAAGAUAACAUAGUUGUCCACAAUCAACCAUACAGUUGCCUAAAAACAUGUAUCGAGUUCCCAAUCCUCAUGAACAGAAAUGUCAUCAAUACAAUAUUUUGGCCAAUAUCUAAAGCUUUUAGAUAUCUUUCAAUUUGGUUUGUGUCAUAGAGAUGCGUUCAGAAUUUCUUCUCCUCGGGUGGGAUCCCAUGGUGCGAUCGUAACGAAUGAUCAUAGAGGGGGGAGGGGUGAAGCUGGUCAUGGGGACAUAACUAAAACAAUGAAGUGUUUGUAGGGGAUUAAGUUUUUCUGUGAACCCCUCCAAAAGCGAACAUGUGUAUAUUCUUUAUCCCUUUUUUUUUCAGGUGCCAUAGUUGCCCAUAAUCAACUAUAAAGUUGCCUAAAGCCAUGAAUCCAGCUGCCCAAUCCUCAUGAACAGAAACAUCACCCAGACCAUAUUUUGGCCACUAUCUAAAGGUUUUAGAUACAUUUUAAUUAAGUUUGUGUCAUAGAGAUGCGCCAAGAAUUUGUUCUCCUCAGGGUGGGAUCCCUUGGUGCGAGAAUGAUCGUAGAGGGGGAGGGGGUGGUGCUGGUCAUGGGGACAUAGUGUUUUCAGGGGACUAAGCUUAUCUGUGAACCCCUUAAAAAAUGAACAUGUGUAUGUUCUUUAUCCCUCUUUUUUAGGUGUCAUCUAGAGAUAUGAGGCACACGACUAUGCGUGCGUGGGUGUGGUUGUGUAUAGUUGCCCAAGGAAAAUAGUGGAGUUUUCUGGAAAACUCCACAAAAUUGCCUGCUAAAUCACAUUGUUGGGAUCAUAGGCACCAGCAAAAUUGGGAGGAAGUUGCUUCAUUUUAAGUAGUAGGACAUAAACAUUUUUAGAAAAAUCUGCAUAUUUUUGUUGUUAAAAAAAGUUCCUUUUUUGUGUGGACACGGUUUGAUUGUAUUUGCACUGAACAAGCUUCUUACGUUUUUUUUUGCAUGGACAAAGUUUCUUAUAUCACACAAGAUAGUUGCUUAAAACCAGUAUGUCUUUGCUGGGAGAAGGGACACAUGGCUAGUCACUUUUGAUAUCAUGCGACCGUGUUUUUUUUUCAUUUUUACUUGUGUAUAUAAUGCACCUACAUAUGCGUUACUGUCACCUAUAUAUGACAUCCUCUUGGUUGUUUUUGUGGUUCUUUGUUUUUUUGUACAAAGGGUUGCCUGAUAUUACUGCAAGGACCUUAUAGGGGCAACAACCCCUUUUUUAAUGUCUGACACUAGUUGCUUCAAAUUUUAUCAUGAGUUGCCUGAAAUCACAUGCAAAGUUCUUGCAUGUAUUUUUACUUUUGCAUAGGGGGAUGCACGAUAAUUUUUACUACAAGGAACUUAUAUGGGAGCAUACCUUUUUUACAGGCCUGAUAGUAGUUGCUUCAAAUUUUAAUAUGAGUUGCCUGAAAAUCACUGGUAAGUUUGCCUCGUGUGGUUUUACUCUUUUGAAAACAUCAUGAUCUAUGGUCCAUAAAUGCAUGAACUGUUUUAAGGCUCUAUACUUGCAGUACAUAGUUGCCUAGCUUUUUGGUCGCUUUUUUCAAGUUCUUACAGGAAAUUGUGUUUUUGCCCAACAACUUAUCUACUCCCUCCGUCCAGGGAAGAGUGUACAUCUAGCUUCAAAAUUUGUCCACAAAAGAGUGUACUUCUAUCUUUCCAAUGCACUUUAAAGUAGGAAAAAAUACUUCUCUCUUACCACACGAUAAUCAAGACCAAUAGCAAUCUACACAUGGUCUUCUUAAUUUCUACAUGCACUUAGCUCAUUGGGGGUUGGGUAAUUAAAGAUGAGAGAGAUGGUGGCUUGCACCUUUCCAAUGCAUUUUUUACUCAACUUCAUAAUUUAUUCUAAAAUUUCUAGAUGUACACUCUUCACUCGACGAAGGGAGUAUGUGUGAAAGGAGACAAACCAUGUUUUUGCUGAUCAUCAACCUGUUUUUUUGGCUGUUCAAGUAUCCCCUGUCAUUAAAACAAGUGAAAGGGGAAGGAGGGUGAGGGGAUGGAGAGGGGUGUGCAGGUUUCAGCCAGUUGUUUUUUUGCUACAAUUUGAUCGCUGCGUCAUGAUUGCCAAAAGCUUUCUAGAUCGGACGGAGAGAGGAUUCUGGAAACUGUUAGGUGGGAGGAGAGGAAGAAGGACGACAUGCCGGGCGAUUGGGUGAUUGGCGCUGGUAGCCAAGAAAAGGGGGGAGGGGGGAACAGGUGGGGCGCGGUUCGGGCGGGCAUGCACUGGUUCCGGGAGACGUGACAGGAGGGGACCGGGCACGCUCUGUUCUUUCCUUUUGCUGGCGUAUUUCCCAAAAUGAACAACCAAAAAUAUGCAGACCAAAUUGAAAGGUAUCGAGUUGCCCAAUCCUGAUGAACAGAAACCUCACCAAGAUCAUAUUUUGGCCAAUAUCUAAAGGUUUAUGAUACUUUUCAAUUACAUUUGUGUCAUAGAUAUGCGUUAAGAAUUUCAUAAAAAUAUACCAGAGUUUGCCCUACACUGUUAGGAUCCCUUUGUUAUGCACUGUACAUGAAAGAUAACAUAGUUGUCCACAAUCAACCAUACAAUUGCCUAAAAGCAUGUAUCGAGCUGCCCAAUCCUCAUGAACAGAAACAUCACUAGGACCAUAUUUCGACCAAUAUUUAAUGGUUUUAGAUAUUUCAAUUAAGUUUGUGUCAACAACUCAAAGCAACUCAACUAAAGGUAACUUAGUACUAAAUUAUCCCCGUUCUGGGCGAGUGAUGUUAGUCUUGACCCAACUCGGUAUACUCAUGAUGGACGUUUAUAGUGACUCCGGUAUGUGAUAGCGUUAUCUGACCUUACCAGUGACGCAGUCAACGGCCAGUAUGAUGAGAAGGUCGCGAUAGUUACCUCUAUGGUCCAGACCGUUGAAGAGUUGUGAUACGAUGUAGUAGAGGAUGUACUCGUAUGACGUAUAACUGGUUGCACAAUCCCCAUUUCCGAUGAACUUGCUUGAUAUAGACGAGGGCCAUGCGACGACGCAGUGUGCAACGGAGUGAUGCCUUGGUUCCGAGGGGCGAUAUUCGCUUCAUUAUGAGGUAGUAGUGAUGGUUGUCGCAAGAGGUACGGGCCGAUCGUGUGCCAUAGUGAUCAUUGAUUCAUCAUAGAGGAGGUUGCAAGGGACGCGAUCUAGCAUAUGCUUCAAAAGGGAGGGACACGAGGGCGUAGCCUGGCGUCGGGGCCGUUAGAUAGGUUGGCCUGGCUCCCGGGCAACGGUGCCAGUGAGCGGUACUCCAGGUGACCGGACGGAUCAUCGCGAGGUGGCGUUCGGCACGGUACACUAGGCAGCACGCGGACAAAUCGGUUGAUGAGGGUUUGGCGACCGCGGCGACACAACAAGCUAGGCAGCACGAGCAGUUGCUGGCGUGUAAGAAAACGUAGCAAAGAAGCAAGCCAGCAUCAUCGUCCAGCUACUUUGCCAUGCACACGUAGUCACGUACUAGAUGGAGGCGUCCUGUGAGGGAGGGUGCGCUCGAAUCAACGAGCCAGCGCAGCGACGCUCCGUGGCCGGGUCCAAAAUACAGUAUAAUCAAGUGAACCAUCGAUCGAACUCCCAACCCAUCGCUCACUCCUAAAUGCUGCAUCCAGCUGAGCUAUCCCAAGGCUUUGUUUUAGAAAAGAAGAUUAGGAUUCACAUUAAAUAGUAGCACCGCUCUUUUUCAUUCUAUUUGACUAAUAAUUUAUAUAUGUGUGCAAUCUGAAAUCAGCAAGCCGUCUCAAGAAUCAAUGGAAGGAAUUAACGAGGGAGAGAAAAGCGAUAAAAUAAAGAAGGAAAAAGACGUGGCUGGAGGGGAACACACCUCGGAGGGCUUGUGGGAAAGAGAAUCACGUAAAAUGUGAGGGACGCCUCAGAUGAAAAUAAAGAGACUGGAUCCGAUGUGAUCGGACGUGAAAAUGAGGAAACGGAAGAGUUCUCAAGAGCUCCGCCGUGUACCCUCAAUUUAUUGCCACGGCUAUGGAGGUCACCCAUCGUGUUGGGUGAAGUUGCUGGAGUUUCGGCCGAGAAAUUCCUGUGGGAGGGGAGGGGGGACGGCUGGCAAUUCCUCAUGCUGUUGUGUUCGUGUAGGCGGAUCUGCCCCGGUGCACCGCACGCUGUGGUGGUGCAUACAGCGCUGGCGGCCAUGGUAUGAUAUAGUGGCAACCGUGGCCGGCACGACAAAGGUGGAUAUGUGGAGGAGCCGUGGAAGCACCCCUGCGCGCGCCCUCGCGUGGCGGCUCCACCCGCUGCCUGCUGCUGCCUUGAAAGUUGCAACGCCGCUGCUCUCUGCACUUUCAGCAAUCAUGGCAGCCCCAAGCCAUGCUGUUCUCGAUGCCAUAUUUUCUAAUUCGAAAUCUUUGCAUUUUUUUGGUAUUUGCUGGGAUUGACCGUGAUGGUAAGGUGCCUAAUACAGACAAGGCACCACGCAGGAAGCUUCUCAUUAACGGGCACUGCCAUGUGGGUGUUGGAGGUCUGCGGCAACGCCUUCCGCUAUAGUGCUGGCGAGAACAUAUAAUCCUCCUAAAGAAUACAAGGUCAGGGUGAGAUAUCAUAUGCUCGUAAACUUCCAGGCCGUGUACUUAGAUGUCCCUUCUAUUUUACACGCGUUGUGAGUGUUAAUCA
rnacentral:lncRNA from 1 species